rnacentral:lncRNA from 1 species
AUAAAGGAAAACUAUUCAAAUGCUGCAGUAAAAAAUGUGGUUUUUGGGAGUGGGUUAGAGAAGAAGAAUCAAGCGGUGAAUCAAGUGGCGUCGAUAGCUCGACAAAUCCUGCGUCCGAAGAAUCAAUGUCAGAUUUGUCCCGCAAGUUUCAAUAUCAAAUUCAGCUAACGAGGAAGAAGUCUAGAUUUCGAUGAACAUGAAUAUGACAAUCCGCAAGGGCAAAGCAACUAUGGAGAAGUCUGAAAAAUAGAAGUGGUCAACUUCAUUUGUAGUCCCCAUAUUUAAUAAACAUUGACGUUAUGUAUGUUUGUAGUCAUAUGACUCCUUUGUAGCGAAAUUUGUGCUGGACUUGGUUUGUAAUAAAUUAGACACUAUUCGAAUCUUGAUGCUAUAUAUGUUUCAGUCAUUUGAUGUCUACCUACCUUGCACUGAAAUUAAUAAUUUUGG